GUGGACUAGAGAUGGAAUAUGGAAGGAUGUGUGACCUAUCGGGAAGUGAUUCUUAAUAUCGUGCGAGUGAGACCAAAAGACGAUGAAAGUUGAUAUAGUGAUUGCAUGGUAGGUAAACAAUGAUUUUGAGCCUUCGAACAAAUUAACGCACCGUCCAUUGAAUGAGAUGAAGAUCACGAUACGACUGAGCGGGCGUGCGAUCAGGACGUUACAAGUG
rnacentral:lncRNA from 1 species